GAUGAACGCUGGCGGCGUGCCUAAUACAUGCAAGUCGAGCGAACAGACGAGGAGCUUGCUCCUCUGACGUUAGCGGCGGACGGGUGAGUAACACGUGGAUAACCUACCUAUAAGACUGGGAUAACUUCGGGAAACCGGAGCUAAUACCGGAUAAUAUAUUGAACCGCAUGGUUCAAUAGUGAAAUACGGUUUUGCUGUCACUUAUAGAUUGAUCCGCGCCGCAUUAGCUAGUUGGUAAGGUAACGGCUUACCAAGGCAACGAUGCGUAGCCGACCUGAGAGGGUGAUCGGCCACACUGGAACUGAGACACGGACAAGACGCCUACGGGAGGCAGCAGUAGGGAAUAUUCCGCAAUGGGCGAAAGCAUGACGGAGCAACGCCGCGUGAGUGAUGAAGGUCUUCGGAUCGUAAAACUCUGUUAUUAGGGAAGAACAAAUGUGUAAGUAAAUAUGCACGUCUUGACGGUACCUAAUCAGAAAGCCACGGCUAACUACGUG
rnacentral:rRNA from 1 species